UACGUAGGUGGCAAGCGCUGUCCGGAUUUAUUGGGUUUAAAGGGUGCGUAGGCGGUCUUAUAAGUCAGCGCUGAAAUAUCCCGGCUUAACCGGGAGGGUGGCAUUGAUACUGUAGGACUUGAGUAAAGUUGAGGUUGGCGGAAUUGACGGUGUAGCGGUGAAAUGCUUAGAUAUCGUCAAGAACACCUAUUGCGAAGGCAGCUAACUAAGCUUUAACUGACGCUGAGGCACGAAAGUGUGGGGAUCAAACAGG
rnacentral:rRNA from 1 species